CGUCGCUCUGGCUCGCAAUUUGCAUUUGUAUUUCCGGCUGCGUGGUGCAUGCUUGCUUCCUUGGCAGGGCAGACAUCGACGUCUCAACCGUCCUCCCCGUGUUUCUUCUCCAUCUCCAUGGUCGCCGCCUAUUAAUUCCGCCCCUUGCAUGCUCCAUUGGCAACCAGUCAAGGCAAGGUUCUCCAUGGAUCUCCUCCUGAGUGUUUACAAGAUGCUUUCAUGCAUGCUGUGGCUGAUUUGCAUCAGAACAGGGCUCCAUGCUAGCUUGUCUCCGAGGAUUUCUGGCUGGGAGAGUCCGAUGUUGGCAUGGCUCAAUCAAAUCGAGUGGGCGGCGAUCGAGGCGUGAAGAUAUGAUUGUUUAACUCGAUCUGAUUGAGCCGUGCCAAUAUCGCAAGCUCCUUGCCUAGCAGCACCCUAUGAUGGGAUGGGAUGGGAGGAUAAUCAAGGCAGCUGGUAUGGAACAGGAACGUGCAAGGGUAUUGUUUUAUUGGAUAUUUCAAUAAGGACGCUUCAUAUCAACAAGAGGCAUUUCAUCAGAUCAUCAUUUCAAAAUCUCCUAAGAAUCAGUAAAAUAAUUCAGGGACUACAAGAAUAGCCCAUCGAACAUGGCGGCGACCACAACAGCUGUUAGUGAGAUCUCCAUUGAGAUGGCACCUGCCGUUUCUGAACCUGCAUCCGCCACACAGCGGAGCAGAAGCAGGGGCAGGGGAGGAGAUGAUGUGGCUCUGCCUGAUACAGAGAGGAAGCCGAACAUACUACUACGUUGUGUCGCCUUCCUGGAAUGGGUGGGUCACGCCUGCGGCGCCCUGUCAUUUUUGUGGGCUACAGUUGUAAUGCUUGGGGGUUUCUGCACACUGCUCGAACCGAGCGAUUUCUGGUCUACAACAGCUAUAAUAUUUAUUGAAGCUUUCAGGUAACAAACCCUCUUCCCUAACGCUCAUUUCCUACUCAAUAAAAAGGAAAAAUGAUUCAGGUGGGGGGCUUUGCCCCCCCCCCCCUCCGUUGACCUUCAUUUUUUUUAUUACUAGUGGUACCCAAAAGGUCAAGUAGCAAGUAGGAACCCUUUCCGCCGGCAUAGAUCACUCCUUUGGACUAGGUCCUUGCGCAGUGACGAGACCGACUAUGACUGUUGUCAUACCAACCGCGAUCGAGGUAAGCUUAGUUUCAGAAUACAAGCAUGUACUAAUUGACCAGUGUGUUUCCCUUUGUAAAAGAAGGCGAAUUUAACCCUUCGCUCCAAAUUAAUUGAAGUUUUAGAUUCGUCUUAAGUUAUUUGUAGUUACUACUCCUUCUAUUUCCUUUUACUCCGCGUAUUACGGUUUUUUCGAAGUCAAACUCCUCAAAAUUUAACCAAGUUUAUUAAAAAAUAUUAACAUUAGAAAUACAACAUUAAUAUCAUUAGAUUCAUCAUGAAAUAUACUUUUGUAUUAUAUGUACUAGGUAUUGUAGAUGUUGAUAUAUUUUAAUUCAGUUUUGCUAUUUCACAUCUAGAUGUGAAAUAGCUAUCUCACAUCUAAGUUGUCCACCACAUGAUCAAAAGCUGAAAUAUUUGUGCAAACCGUUGAUCUGCCCCGUGUCGCUCGUUGCCAAUGUUUUCGCCUGGCUGUGUCAGCCUUCUAGGCUUUUUCUCGCACAGCUGUCUCGUUUUGUUGGGCUGUUGGUUUAUACGGGCUAGCAACAUCGCCAUAGCUGUUUUCUAGUUAUUACGACUCAUCCACAAAAACAUAAAACCUAGAGUCAACAGCAUGACACAAAAUGGCCUACUCAAUAAGCAAAUUAUUACGACUCAUCCACAAGCUAGAUCCAAGCCACCAUGGUGAAAACACUUGAUCGAAAUGAAUAAUUUCCAAAAACGACCCAAAAGGAAGCGAAGAAAGAGCAAAGAGAAGCAGAACCAAAGAAAAAAGGCAAAGGACAAAAGGACCAAAAACAUUUUUUGUGUGUUUUUAGUAAGCCAUGGGAAACAAGAAAAAAGCAAGCCAACAAAGAAUUAUUUUGAGAUUUCUCAUACUUCAGCAAACAAAACCAAAGAAACAAGAAAGAUAAAAUGUUUUUGUUGUUUUCUGAAUGACAAGAAGUGCGCUAAAAAGACCGAGAGAAGAAUGAAUAAAAUAUUUUUGGAGUUUUCCUUUUAAAGGAACAACAGAAGCAACUAAUAAGUAAGGUGUGACAAUGAAAAUGAGGGGGCAAGAGGUACACAGUCCCCCAAAGCUUAGGCUUUUUGCCUGUUGGUAAUCACAUGGGUUCAGGCUCCCCCGGUUGUAGUUUCCAGGUCCCGAUGGUGGUGGUGGUGCUGCAACAACAUACCGAGCUUCCUGCUCUAGACGUGCUUGAUCAUCAUAAUAAUCUGACAUAUCAAUGUCCCAAAUAAUCCACUUGUUUGUGGUAGUAACAUCAAACAAAAAGGGAUAAUGAAGGGGCCCUUGCCAACUACCAUUGUAAGUAGCAAAGGAAUACUCAUAUGAACCCCCGAUAUCAUCAAAAUGAAGACAUUUAUGUCUAUGAAGACAUACUCAUCUAAAUAUUUAGGACCACGACUCUGGGUGCCUAGGGUAGGGCCUUGGGCCUCCCCUUGGCCAUCUCCAUAUCCUUGGUUGGCCCAUUUGGAGCAUAUAUGCCUCUUGUGUUUUUUCCUUUAUUUUUUUCUACACAAAUAGAUAACACCACCAUAAAAAUUCUUCGGAAAACAACAUCAAUCAUGAUUAUUUUUUAUUCACCAGUGCAAGUUUUGAGUGUAAAAGUAUUCAUAAAGGUAGAUACGUCUGAGAGGUAUCAUACAUCAAAUGCAUAAUCACUUUCACCCAGCAUAACAAUAUGUACACCGUGAUUUUAUUAACAUAAUGGUAAACAUUUCAUCACUUUGAUGUAGCAAAAGUAUGCAAGACAUGAAAAAUAAGAUAAACUGAAAAUAAAGAUUAUCAUGACAUCAUUUUCACUAAGAACAUAUAUACAACAUCAUACAAACAUCACAAUAAAUCUCAAUACAUAAUAACUCCGACAUCUAUAGGGCACAUAAUCUGAGAAGCCCUCAGAACCCCCUCACUUUGCACUACUUCUGGUGGCCAUCGAACAAUGUAGCAAAAGUCCUAUGUUUGUGGACAUGCAACCCACGAUUCAUCGGCACAGAGGGAAGGCAAGCCCUAUCCAAAGGUGACAAGUGAUGAGAACUGAGAGCUUACCGUAAACAGGUGGCGGUUGCUCCACCACGAGGCGACACAGUAUCAUGAACACUUCACAAUUUCAGAGGGAAAGUGGGCUCCGUAGUGGACUUUCUGACUGCAGUUCGUAGAGGGGUUGAGCUAUGGUGUCAGGCUGGGGUCUCCUGUUUACAGCAACCUUUUGCAGAGACACCAACAUGAAUAGGCUAACUAGAGCAUUUUAGAGCUAUUUUUUGAUACGUCUCCAACGUAUCUAUAAUUUUUUAUUGUUCCAUGCUAUAUUAUAUUCUGUUUUGGAUGUUUAAUAGGCUUUAUUAUACACUUUUAUAUUAUUUUUGGGACUAACCUAUUGACCGGAGGCCCAGCCCAAAUUGCUGUUUUUUUUUUGCCUAUUUCAGUGUUUCGAAGGAAAAGGAUAUCAAA